ensembl:processed_transcript
UCUAUUCCAGAUAUGGUUCAUCUCAAGGCCAUUUACACUUUGGAGCCAGGCCUGUUCAGUUUUACAAAUAGCACAGGUUACUGUGACAACAUGAAGAGUUGAAGGUACCUCCCAGGAUGAUUGCAGAUUUUCCCGGUGGUGAGUCUCCGGCAUUCAAAGGUUCUGUUAGUGCCAUACUUGUUGGUUUACAGAGAUGGUGUGUCUGGCUGAGACCAAAGGAGCCAUGCCAGGUACAUGUUUUAGCAAUGCUUUUUGUAGUAUUAGCUUGAAUAUAUAAUACUUAGACCUAGUGAAUUCUUGCUCACCCUGAUGAAUUGAAUACCGCCCCAGUCUGAUAGCUGUGAAGAAAGGUAUUUUCUGAGUUGUGAGCUCAUCUUGGAUUAAGUAGGAGAUUUUUUUAUGUUAGUAUGAUUUCUGUAAAAGAAGCUUAAAUGUUAAUGGCCCAAAAUUUUUUGCUGUUUUUCAGGAAAGUUAAAGCGUAUCUUCAUUUUUAAGUCCAGGCUAAAGUAAGGUGAGAAAA